UCACCUCACGCCGUCUAUCUCUCAAUCUCGCUUAGUCGCUCUCAUUCUCACGAUUCUCUCGCAAUUGGUCGUCCACGCCUCCACGGUCCAUCUCCGGCGACGUCCUCCAGCUUCUCUCACGCUCCCCACCGCAUCUCUUAUCUCCGGCGAGCGGCUGCAGGCUUGCAGCUCCUAUAUUCUACAGCCCUUCAGCUCCAGUAGACUCAAAGUACUGCCGCUCCUAUAUUCUACAGCCCUUCAGGCUUCAGCUCCAGUAGACUCAAAGUAAUUAAAAUGGAAUCAACAGCUUCUCAUUCGCAUCCACUGCCACUUACUUCUGAACCAUCAAAGCAACAAAGCGCUUUCACAAAUGAUGAGGGUACUAGUAGAAAACGAUCAGCAGCAGAAGAUUCCUCAGAAAAACCUCCUUUAGCUCCUAUAAAGAGAGGUAGAAGUCAAUAUUGGAAGCACUUCGAAAAACAAUGAAGAAAACGAGUCAAGGAGAAAGAAAAAUAGGGAUAUGCAACUACUGCAAAUCUGAAGUACCAACUCUUACUGUGAGUACUACUGGACUGAAGUAUCACUUGGAGAAGAAGUGUGAAUUAAGUCCAUUUUAUCCUGCGAGUGGAAAUGACAAGGGCCAAACUGUGUUGACAAAGGAGACUAUGGGAAAAGGAAGUCAAAUAGUGCCUCAUUCUUUUAAUAAAAAAAGGUGUGAGUUGAAGGUCACGGAAUAUGUUAUUACAGAUGAAGUGUCCUUUCGGGCUGUUGAGGGAAAAUGAUUCGUUGCGCUUGUCCAUGAAUUAGAACCAAGGUUUCGAAUUCCCGACCGAAAGAAGGUAGCAGGUAUGGUUUUUGAAUUGUUUUUAGAUAUGAAGAAGAGGAUUAAAAGUGUGCUCAAUGGGAAGAGAGUGAGUAUUAAUACAAACACAUGGACAUCAGUUCAGAAUAUCAAUUACAUGGUCAUCACUGCUCACUUUCUAGAUAAUGAUUGGAAAUUACAUAAGAGAAUAAUUAAUUUCACGAAAAUCACUAGUCAUGCAAGAUGAUUGAGGUUUGCUUGAGAGAAUGGGGGAUAGAAAAAUUAUUUUCCAUUGUGGUUGAUAAUGCUUCUUCGAAUGAUAUUGCGAUUGAUUAUUUGAAGAAAAGAUUGCAUAUUGAAAACACAUUGCAAUUUGAUGGAAAGUAUUUGCAUUUGAGAUGUGCUUCCAUAUACUCAACUUGAUUGUCAAGGAUGGAUUAAAGGAGCUUAAUUAUGCAAUUGAGUCUAUAAGAAAUGUUGUUGUGUUUAUUCAUUCUUCCCCUUCUAGAUUGAGUAAAUUUAGAGAGUAUGCGGUACUAGCUAAGUUUUCUUGUAUGUCAACGAUGCCCAUGGAUGUGAAAACGAGGUGGAAUUCAACAUAUAAAAUGCUUGAUGUUGCAUUGAAAUAUAGAAGGGUGUUUGAAAGAAUGGUUGACGAAUGGAUUCCUUUCAUGAGAUACUUUGAUGAAAAGGAUGACAAGGGUAAACAAAGAAUGGGACCUCCACUUAAAGAGGAUUGGGAUAAUGCAAAAGCAUUUGUUCAUUUUCUCAAAAAAUUUUAUGAUGUCACUUUAGAGUUAAGUGCAUCAAAAACUCCUACAUCCCAAAUGAUUUCUGUGUCUAUGUUUGCUCUAAAAAUCGAGAUUGAAAAAAAUGUGAUGAUUCGGAUCCGAUUAUGUCAGAGGUUGCAAAAGCAAUGAAGGUGAAAUUUGACAAGUACAGGGGUGAUUGGAAUAAAAUGAAUCCAGUAAUUUUUAUUGCCAAUGUUUUGGACCCGAGGAACAAGCUGAAAAUGCUUCAAGUUAGUGUGAAUAAAUUGAAGAGAUUUGGAGAUUCUAACCAAGAGGUUCGAGAGUUGUGUGACCGAUUUAAAAAUGACUUGGUGACUUUGUGGGUUGAGUAUAAGGGAGUGAGUUGGUUACUCAGAAACCACUUCCAGAAAAUAGUGGUAAUGGAGUUCAAGAAGAAGUUUCUCAAGACCAACUAAAUCAGAUAUCUAAUGAAGUGGAUAAGUACUUAGCCGAUGAGAUGGAGAAGCGAUCUAAUCCCUGUUUUGAUCAUUUAGAAUGGUGGAAAGGAAGUGGAACAAGGUAUCCAAUCCUUUCGCUCAUUGCAAAAGAUAUCUUUGCAAUUCCAAGCUCAACCGUAGCUAGUGAAUCCGCUUUUAGCUUGGGCAAAAGAGUUGUAGAUCCUUUUAGGACUAGUUUGAGUCUAAAAAUGGUUGAGACAUUGGUGUGCACCAAUGAUUGGCUCAAAGCGGAUGAUUUUAGCUUAUACAAGGAUCCGAUCGAUGAUGACCUUGCUUUUUAUCAAGAAAUUGAAGAAAUCGAAAAAAUCACUCAACCAUUACUCAAGAGACUCGAGAUGGUUCUCCAAAUUAAUCUUCUACUAGUUGAUCCACCAAAUGAUGAGGUUAAUAUUUCUAGAUGAUUUCGACAAGAUGAAGGGUUUGGUGUUCAAGAAUCAAGAUCAAGACAACUACUCCCUCUGUCCCAUUAAAAAUGAAACGUUUUCCUUUUUGGCCUGUCCCAUUAAAAAUGAAACGUUUCUAAAAAUGGAAACAAUACUCUCUCUACUUUUUCUUUUCUCUUACUUUACUCUCUCUUCAUUAACUCACAAAACAACACUACAUAAAAUCUCGUGCCAAAAAGCAAAUGUUGCAUAUUUAAUGGGACGGAGGGAGUACUAGUUUUUGCUAAUUAUUGUGAUGGAGUUUGUUCAAACUUUAUGGUGUGUUUUUUUGUACUUGGUUGUGUUGUAUUUUGAUUAUGGAGAUAAGAACACUAUUAAUUUUAUUGUGUUGAAGUUUUAUUAA